AUUGAUCUGGCUGCUCACUAGACUGGAUGGAAAAGGGCCCGGGGCGAGAAGUGCACAGUGCAUCAGCAGAUGGGAGAGCCCGCUGUGUUGCCAUCACACAGCAUUCCUCCUCCACUGGGCAUGCUCAGAGGGGCCACGCCUCACGUCUCACGCAACACCACCACCACACCCCCCCCUCCUCCUCCUCCUCCUCCUCCUCCUCCUCUCGGGGCCUGUUUGAACCAGUCAGUCGGAGGUGGCGGCGGCAGUCCUUUCUCCUGUUUCUCAUCUGACCUUCAAAAGCCAUGCACGGGGACAUCUUUAUCAUGCUCCUGUGACACAACCAUUUAUCUUCUGGGAUCAAUAAGCUCUUCACAGUGCGCCGUUUCCUGAGACAAGGCUUUGAAGUGGAUGAGGGAGGUGAGACACCAUGCGCCCAGAUGCCCAGCCGCUGUGGUUAAAGGGUCUUUAUCACGCAGACAAGGGGGACAGCACUCAGCUCUUGCCCUUCUAUCUUUCACCGCGGCAGAAGAGUGAUUUUGACAACCAGCGCUCCCCAGCUGCGCAGGGGCCAGGCCUGCAAAACCACAGGCGGAUAAUGAAUGCCACACCAUCGUGACAACUUGCACUUUUAUGGAAAGGGGAGGAAGGACACUUGUGCUCACAGCGUAUGAUGGGACGUCCUCCAUAAACCAGACAAUCAAAGCGAGGGCAGAUAAGCAUCUGUGGAAUCUGUGACGGGAACCUCCGCUGAUUUAUGGGCACUACUGGAAAAGGUUUGUUUCCAAGUGAACGUGUUUAGAGGUAACCAAAGAAGAAAUACAACUUUCCCAAUGCAACCACGGCAUCUGUAAAUGAUAAACCACAGUUGCAUUAUCCAUGAUCUUCCUUGCUUUCCUGAGCUGAACAAGCCACAUGCUAUUUAUGAAGAACUUCCUCCAAAAUGAGGAGACUUGAGGUUUUCCAAUUAGGUCAGAUUGCUAUUCUUGGUUUUUCUUGACUCUCGCAGUCGUGUUAUUUGUAUUCUGUACAUCAGAGGAAUUAUACAUCCAUUUGCUUUCAAGGCAAACGUUACUAGAAAAGGAGCAGCUUUGAUCUUCUUCCAAUAGA